rnacentral:rRNA from 1 species
AGCGAACGCUGGCGGCAGGCUUAACACAUGCAAGUCGAACGGGCUUCUUCGGAAGUCAGUGGCAGACGGGUGAGUAACACGUGGGAACGUGCCCUUCGGUUCGGAAUAACUCAGGGAAACUUUAGCUAAUACCGGAUACGCCCUUAUGGGGAAAGGUUUACUGCCGCAGGAUCGGCCCGCGUCUGAUUAGCUUGUUGUUGGGGUAACGGCCUUCCACGGCGACGAUCAGUAGAUGGGCUGAGAGGAUGAGCAGCGACACUGGGACUGAGACACGGUCCAGAAUCCUACGGGAGGGAGCAGUGGGGAAUAGUGGAAAAUGGGCGCAAGGCUGAUCCAGCCAGGACGGGUGAGCGAUGAAGGCAUUAGGGUUGUAAAGCGCUUGUGUCCGGGAAGAUAAUGACGGUACCGGAAGAAUAAGCCCCGGCUAACUUCGUG